rnacentral:rRNA from 1 species
AUGAUUAUUAAAGCAGAAGAUUGUUCUUUUACCAAACAAAUGCAGAUCAAACCACCUCUUAUCAUAAGAAGAAAUCUUUCUCGGUAUCAAUCCCCUUGGCCCUCAUUCUUUGAGAAUCGGAAUGAUCCUUUUCGAGUUUCCAUUUCUUCAUUUGAAAUCUGGGCUCUUCUGUCUCUGACUUAUUUUUUUGGCUUUAUUCUUUAUUUAUUUCAUUUGAUUUUUUACUAA